rnacentral:rRNA from 1 species
AUUGAACGCUGGCGGCAGGCCUAACACAUGCAAGUCGAGCGGUAGCACAGAGAGCUUGCUCUCGGGUGACGAGCGGCGGACGGGUGAGUAAUGUCUGGGAAACUGCCUGAUGGAGGGGGAUAACUACUGGAAACGGUAGCUAAUACCGCAUAACGUCGCAAGACCAAAGUGGGGGACCUUCGGGCCUCAUGCCAUCAGGUGUGCCCAGAUGGGAUUAGCUGGUAGGUGGGGUAACGGCUCACCUAGGCGACGAUCCCUAGCUGGUCUGAGAGGAUGACCAGCCACACUGGAACUGAGACACGGUCCAGACUCCUACGGGAGGCAGCAGUGGGGAAUAUUGCACAAUGGGCGCAAGCCUGAUGCAGCCAUGCCGCGUGUGUGAAGAAGGCCUUCGGGUUGUAAAGCACUUUCAGCGGGGAGGAAGGCGAUGAGGUUAAUAACCUCAUCGAUUGACGUUACCCGCAGAAGAAGCACCGGCUAACUCCGUGCCAGCCGCCGCGGUAAGAC